rnacentral:rRNA from 1 species
AGUGAACGCUGGCGGCAUGCCUAACACAUGCAAGUCGAACGGCAACACAGUGAGCUCUUGCUCUUACCGGUGGCGAGUGGCGGACGGGUGAGGAGUACAUCGGCAUCUUCUUUUUCGUGGGGGAUAACGUAAGGCAACUGACGCUACUACCGCAUACGACCUACGGGUUAAAUCAAUAGAGCUUCGCACCUUGCCCGUUUGAAUGAGAUGAUGUCGGAUUAGCUAGUUGGGUGGGUAACGGCCCACCAAGGCAACGAUCCGUAGCGGGUCUGAGAGGAUGAUCGGCCACACUGGAACUGAGACACGGUCCAGACUCCUACGGGAGGCAGCAGUGGGGAAUAUUGGACAAUGGGCGCAAGCCUGACCGAGCAACGCCGCGUGAGUGAAGAAGGCCUUCGGAUUGUAAAGCCCUGUUAUUGGGAAAGAAAAGAAGCGUGAGAAACUCCCGCUGUUCUGACGGUACCCAAAGAGAAAGCCCCGGCUAACUUCGUG